rnacentral:other from 1 species
GCGGAGCUGCGGGGUGCGUGAGGACUGUAUUCCCGGGGCCUUAUCGAUUCCAACGGGAGCUGUCCCUGUUCUCGACCGUGGUCUUGAGCACACGGCGCCCACCUACGUUGUAGGUUCCCGGGAUCGAUAUCCCACGGCCACUGCGGCCCCGCA